rnacentral:rRNA from 1 species
GACGAACGCUGGCGGCGUGCCUAACACAUGCAAGUCGAGCGGGGAUUUAAGUGGAAGUUCUUCGGAAUGGAGAUUUAAAUUCUAGCGGCGGACGGGUGAGUAACGCGUGAACAAUCUGUCCCGGACAGGGGGAUAACACUUGGAAACAGGUGCUAAUACCGCAUAAGACCACGGCCUCGCAUGGGGCUGAGGUAAAAGGAGCAAUCCGGUUCGGGGUGAGUUCGCGUCCGAUUAGCUAGUUGGUGAGGUAACGGCCCACCAAGGCGACGAUCGGUAGCCGGCCGGAGAGGGUGAACGGCCACAUUGGAACUGAGAGACGGUCCAAACUCCUACGGGAGGCAGCAGUGGGGAAUAUUGGGCAAUGGGCGAAAGCCUGACCCAGCAACGCCGCGUGAGGGAAGAAGGUUUUCGGAUUGUAAACCUCUGUCCUAUGGGACGAAGGAAGUGACGGUACCAUAGGAGGAAGCCCCGGCUAACUACGUG